UUUUAAGUAAGCUAUAUAAGCUAUAUGGCUCAUAACCAUAUGAAGUCUCCCUUAUUUAUUU
rnacentral:tRNA from 1 species